CUAGGAUGAAAAUGACAUGGGCUAGGGAUGGUUUUGGGAUGACAAGCCACUAUAAAAUCUAGGAAUACAUGAUCUUUCCAAGUUUCAGAACCACAUAGCCAUAGAAAAACAAAUCAAAUCAACAAAUCCAAGAAAAAUCCUUGAAAAAAGAAAAGGGUGAAAUCCGGGGUGUUACAAGAACUUGAAUAAGAUUUGUACUGAACACAAAUAAUAAAUUGAACUAAACUAAAAUUAAAAAUUGAACUAAACUAAAAAGAGAAUGAUAGUACGUAGACAUGGCAUCUUCUCCAAUGCUUAAAUACAUCGGGAUAAACUAUAAAAAGCUAGUUCAACGUAUGCUCUCUUUGUCAUGAUUCCAGACUGAAUUCUCCAGACAAUAGAACUUAAUUUUUUUUCCUGCAAAUAUAGUAGUGCACGAGAGCAAAAGUAUUUUCUACAUAGAACCACAUUACUGAGUUUUGAACUACAGAACUUGAAUAAGAUUUGCACUAAACAUAAAUAAUAAAUCUAACUAAUCUGUUGUGUUUUAACACAUAGAUUGUACUAUUCAUUACGGACUGUUGAUAUAAAUACAUAUUGAACUUCUACACUAAAAGAAAAUUCACUAAUAAACAACACUUCUCUUGAUCAAUCAAAUAAGUUUUGCAUGAAAUACAUCAAAUACUGAAAGCAAUCUAACAAGUGUCACAUGAAUAUGGAGGCAAGUGCAAGAAAUAUUAAAAAGCAAGGAAUACGUUUGAAGUAACCGGGAAGAUGGCAUCAAGAAUUGAACUGAAAUAAUUUUUAGUUUUUGAACCGAACUAAAGAAAUUGGAUACGUGAUGAAUCUGACUCUCAUCCAUGAUCGCAUGAUAAUGUCUUUGAACUGAACUAAGCAUCCCCCCAGUUGCUGCUACAUGAUAAUGUUAACAUGCCUCUCUAUCACAAACACACACAUGGGGAUGAAUGACUCUGUCUCUCAGUCGCUGGCUAGCUUACCUAGAUGAUAGGGAGAAAGUUGACCCGAAUCCAGGGCCGGAGCUCGGGGUGGCCUGCACGCAGCUCCUUGAGCGACCAACGGUGUAGCAUGUAGUUGGACUAUCGAGCUAGAGGUCCAUGAUCCAGCGACUCCCCUCCUAGGCUCACUGUUUUUCUGCUGAAGCACAGGCUGUUGGAACGAACAUAACAAGGUAGAAAGAAUCAAACAAUCGAUGACCCACAAAUAAAUUUUGUCAGCGUUGUAUAAUGUAUAGGCUACAAUGUGUUGUAUGAUGUAGAGGCCACAAUGUGCUACCUCAUAUAACGAGAGCCACACUUAAAUGAGGCACAAAAGCUAGCAGCAUCAACAUACAAGAACUACAUGCAUCACUUCAAAAUAAAUUUCAACAGGAAGAUCAACUCAUCAGCUAAACCUGCAUUCCCAGAGAACAAGUCGAUCGAGCGCCACGUCACCUUUCUUAAGCUUUGAUAGACUUCCAGGGAAUGCGACCGUUGCAGUGUCUCAC
rnacentral:lncRNA from 1 species